CCUUUGUACACACCACUUGUCGCUACUACCGAUUGAAUGGCUUAGUGAGACCCUCAGAUUGUAGAUUGUACUGUUGGCAACAACAUACGAUUCGCGAGAAGUUGGUCAAACUUGGUUAUUUAGAGG
rnacentral:rRNA from 1 species